rnacentral:misc_RNA from 1 species
GUGAAAUCCAACGGUCGGUGCCCCGGCGCCUUAAUGGGUCGGGCCCUUCCAUCAUCUCACACACUUUUGUUGAACCGUAGGGAGUUGGCUAACGCCUUCUCUCGCCCUUUCAAACUCUUAAAGUCUCAGAAUGAAGUUAUGGUGAAAACCAAAAACA